rnacentral:rRNA from 1 species
UACGUAGGGCGCAAGCGUUAUCCGGAAUUAUUGGGCGUAAAGGAGCUACGUAGGCGGUUUGUCGCGUCUGCCGUGAAAGUCCGGGGACUCCAACUCCGGAGUCUGCUGGUGGUACGGGCAGACGUAGAGUGAUGUAGGGAGACUGGAAUUCCUGGUGGUAGCGGUGAAAUGCGCAGAUAUCAGGAGGAACACCGAUGGCGAAGGCAGGU